UGAGGAAUAUUGGUCAAUGGACGAGAGUCUGAACCAGCCAAGUAGCGUGCAGGAUGACGGCCCUAUGGGUUGUAAACUGCUUUUGUUUGGGAAUAAUCGACAUUACGUGUAAUGUUUUGCAUGUACCAUUCGAAUAAGGACCGGCUAAUUCCGUGCCAGCAGCCGCGGUAAUACGGAAGGUCCAGGCGUUAUCCGGAUUUAUUGGGUUUAAAGGGAGCGUAGGCUGUUUGUUAAGCGUGUUGUGAAAUGUAAGAGCUCAACUUUUAGAUUGCAGCGCGAACUGGAAGAAUUGAGUGCGCACAACGUAGGCGGAAUUCAUGGUGUAGCGGUGAAAUGCUUAGAUAUCAUGAAGAACUCCGAUUGCGAAGGCAGCUUACGGGAGCGCAACUGACGCUGAAGCUCGAAGGUGCGGGUAUCGAACAGG
rnacentral:rRNA from 1 species